AUGGCAGAGCUGACGGUGGAGGUUCGCGGCUCCAACGGGGCUUUCUACAAGGGAUUUAUCAAAGAUGUUCAUGAAGACUCCCUCACAGUUGUUUUUGAGAACAACUGGCAGCCAGAACGCCAGGUUCCAUUUAAUGAAGUUAGAUUACCACCACCACCUGACAUAAAAAAAGAAAUUAGUGAAGGAGAUGAAGUAGAGGUAUAUUCAAGAGCAAAUGACCAAGAACCCUGUGGAUGGUGGUUGGCUAAAGUUCGAAUGAUGAAAGGAGAAUUUUAUGUCAUUGAAUAUGCUGCUCGUGAUGCCACUUACAAUGAAAUAGUCACAUUUGAACGACUUCAGCCUGUCAAUCAAAAUAAAACUGUCAAAAAAAAAUACCUUCUUUAAAUGCACAGUGGAUGUUCCUGAGGAUUUGAGAGAGGCGUGUGCUAAUGAAAAUGCACAUAAAGAUUUUAAGAAAGCAGUAGGAGCAUGCAGAAUUUUUUACCAUCCAGAAACCACACAGCUAAUGAUAUUGUCUGCCAGCGAAGCAACUGUGAAGAGAGUAAAUAUUUUAAGUGAAAUGCAUUUGCGAAGUAUUCGUACAAAGUUGAUGCUUAUGUCCAGAAAUGAAGAGGCCACUAAGCAUUUAGAAUGCACAAAACAACUUGCAGCAGCUUUUCAUGAGGAAUUUGUUGUGAGAGAAGAUUUGAUGGGCCUGGCAAUAGGAACACAUGGUAGUAACAUACAGCAAGCUAGGAAGGUUCCUGGAGUUACAGCUAUUGAGCUAGAUGAAGAUACUGGAACAUUUAGAAUCUAUGGAGAGAGUGCUGAUGCUGUAAAAAAGGCUAGAGGUUUCUUGGAAUUUGUUGAGGAUUUUAUUCAGGUUCCUAGGAAUCUUGUUGGAAAAGUAAUUGGAAAAAAUGGCAAAGUUAUUCAGGAAAUAAUGGACAAAUCUGGUGUGGUUCGGGUGAGAAUUGAAGGAGACAAUGAAAAUAAACUACCUAGAGAAGAUGGUAUGGUUCCAUUUGUAUUUGUUGGCACUAAAGAAAGCAUCGGAAAUGUGCAAGUUCUUUUAGAGUAUCAUAUUGCUUAUUUGAAGGAAGUAGAACAGCUAAGAAUGGAACGCCUACAGAUUGAUGAACAGCUACGGCAGAUUGGUUCUAGGUCUUAUAGUGGAAGAGGCAGAGGUCGUCGGGGCCCUAAUUACACCUCCGGUUAUGGUACAAACUCUGAGCUGUCUAACCCCUCUGAAACAGAAUCUGAGCGUAAAGAUGAGCUGAGUGAUUGGUCAUUGGCAGGAGAAGAUGAUCGGGAGAGCCGACAUCAGCGUGACAGCAGGAGACGCCCAGGAGGAAGAGGGAGAAGUGUUUCAGGGGGUCGAGGUCGUGGUGGACCACGUGGUGGCAAAUCCUCCAUCAGUUCUGUGCUCAAAGAUCCAGACAGCAAUCCAUACAGCUUACUUGAUAAUACAGAAUCUGAUCAGACUGCAGACACUGAUGCCGGCGAAUCUCAUCACAGUACUAACCGUCGUAGGCGGUCUCGUAGAAGAAGGACUGAUGAAGAUGCUGUUCUGAUGGAUGGGAUGACUGAAUCUGAUACAGCUUCAGUUAAUGAAAAUGGGCUAGUCACAGUUGCAGAUUAUAUUUCUAGAGCUGAGUCUCAGAGCAGACAAAGAAACCUCCCAAGGGAAACUUUGGCUAAAAACAAGAAAGAAAUGGCAAAAGAUGUGAUUGAAGAGCAUGGUCCUUCAGAAAAGGCAAUAAAUGGCCCAACUAGUGCUUCUGGCGAUGAAAUUUCUAAGCUACAGUGUACUCCAGGAGAAGAAAAGAUUAAUAUCUUAAAAGAAGAAAACACUCAAGAAGCAGCAGUCCUGAAUGGUGUUUCAUAAACUGAAGAAGUUCCUAGUUUACAGUUCUUUUACAUUACAUUUUACAAUAGUGCUUGUACAAGCUUGCCAAAGAUAGAAUAUGGAUCGCCAGUCUUUACAUCGCACUUUCAGUUCCUCCAUUUGGAAUUCAGAAAGGGGAGGGAUCCUGAAGAUAUCAUAUGUUAAACAUACUUUGACACCUACUGUGUUAUAAAAUAUAUCAUCAGAUGUGCCUUGAGAAUAGUAUAUGUAACAUUAAAAAAAAAGUUGCUGGCUAUAGGAAAUGUUAUUUUGUUUUCCAAAUAUGGCAGAGAUGGGGGGAGGUGGGAGGGAUGGGAUCCCUAACGUAAUAUUCUUUAUGAAAGCAUUAGCUGCUUUUGUUACAUUUUUAAUAAUAUGCAACCACUUCUUCACCUGAGGAAAACUAGAAUGAAAUGCAGUCUAAAAUAUUUUGCACUGAAUUGUAAUUUCUCCAUUAGUUUAGUCUGGAAACUGGUCUGUUUUAAUGUGUUUUUUAAAUGCUGUAUGUGGAGGAAAAUCUGCAGACCACUGGAAUACAUUUGUUAAAUUCUCAUCUGCAGGGACACUGGGUGUUAUCGGCAGUGAUUGUUCUACACUGAGGCUUUGUUUGGUUUAUUUAUUAAAGUGUACAGUAUUUAAAAAUCAAACAUAGCUUUAGUUAAAACACUAAGCUGAAUUAGUCAUGUCCAUUUCAGACAUAACCUGAACUACUGAAAAGAUCAAUUUCCAGGAGGUUUAUUCUGUAUAAAAGUACAUGUUAGUCUUCAGUAGAGAAUCUUUUCCUUUUUUCUCUUUUUCUUUACUUUCUCUCUCU